rnacentral:rRNA from 1 species
GGGACGAGCCCAGCACCGAAUCCCCCGGCAUGCAGCCGGCGGGAAAUGUGGUGUGUGGGACGCCAACUGUCGUCCGCGCUGGAGACCGAAGUCCUCCUGAUCGGGGCCUCUCCCACAGCGGGUGUCAGGCCUUUACUGGUCUCUGGCCGGGCGGCUGCGAGCGUCUCAGGAGUCGGGUUGUUUGGGAAUGCAGCCCAAACCGGGUGGUAAACUCCAUCUAAG